rnacentral:sRNA from 1 species
CUCGGGACUCGGCGGGUCCUCCUGGGAGUCUCGGAGGGGACCGGCUGUGCAGACGCCAUGGAGUUGGUGCUGGUCUUCCUCUGCAGCCUGCUGGCCCCCACGGUCCUGGCCAGUGCAGCUGAGAAGGAGAAGGAAAUGGACCCUUUUCAUUAUGAUUACCAGACCCUGAGGAUUGGGGGACUGGUGUUCGCUGUGGUCCUCUUCUCGGUUGGGAUCCUCCUUAUCUUAAGUCGCAGGUGCAAGUGCAGUUUCAAUCAGAAGCCCCGGGCCCCAGGAGAUGAGGAAGCCCAGGUGGAGAACCUCAUCACCGCCAAUGGUAACUGUCCGUGACCACCUGCCCAGGUGGAAAAGAGGGAACAGAGAGACCCCUCUGUAGCUCAGGAAGGGGCUGUUGCCAGGUGCAUGGCCUCGCUACAGCCAGCCAGACAUGCUCCCGCAGUGCCAGGAGAGUGGGUCUCCAGGGCCUCUGCAGCAUUGCCCCCUCACUCCACCAAACAGGCUACUACUAGUGUCACCUGCUAUUUACAGAGCAUCUGCUUGUGCCAGGCACAGACCCCAUGUCAUUUGAUGUGCACACAGCCCUGUGAGAUAGGCAUCACUGUCCCCAUUUUGUAACUGAGGGACUGAGAGAGGUUACCAGGUUCCUGUAAGCAGCAAGUAGCAGGGCCAGGAUUGAACCCAGAUCGUUCUGACUCAAAAUCCCAUGCCUGUCACCUCUUUGCUCCCCCAGAGUCAGGCAGAGACAUGGUUGCUGUUGGGGGUGGCCCACAGGGGUGAGGAGUCUAUACACUAUAAUCCAUUCUGGUUUUCUUUCCAGCAACAGAGCCCCAGAAAGCAGAGAACUAAAGUGCAGCCAUCGGGUGGAAGGUGAGAUGCUCACUGCCUGGACUGGCCCCUGUCACCAUCACCAUCUGCAUCAGGGCCUGGACAGGGGUUCAGGCAGGAAGGAUGGGGCUAGCUUUUGUAGUGGGUACAGCUUUUAUUAUGGGCCCUGCCCUGAGGAGCCUUCAGGAGUCUGAAAGGGACUGUGAGAGAGACCAGGACCAGAAACACCCGAAGUGUCCCACACACAUGCAUGCCAACACCUGGAAAUGGGGCUUCCACACAGCCCACGGGUCAAGUGCAUAGGGCGUCAUCCCAGGUGCAACAUGGGGAGAGUUAGAGUUAGUGAAAUGCUCCUAAUCUCAAAGUAGCAUAAAGAUAAUGGCUUUCCGUGGUGACUCAGAAAGUACUUUAGGGCCACUUUUUUUUAAAACACCUUAUUAUGAAACUUCCCAACCCUACCCGAAAAUAGAGCAAAUAGUAUAUGAGCCUUCCCUCUCCACAUUUAGGGGCACUGAUUUUAGUAUCUAUUUCCAUUGUUCAUCAUAGGGGGCACAGGAGAGUAGUAACUGGCAAAUGCUGUACAGUUUUCAGAGUGCAGCCACACACACAGACUCACUCGAGUCUGCCAGAAAAAGAGGAUGGGACAGGUGGGGUUUAGCCCAUUUUAUAGGUGAAACCAAGGUCAGAGGGAAUAGCCCCUUGGAGAGUGACAGCCGGACUGUGAACUCAGGCCUUUGUGGCUGUGGUUCAGCGCCACUGCUCCCCUCUGUCCUGUGCGUCUCACUUUAUGACAUGCCCU